GGGCGGAUGGUUUAGUGGUAUAAUACUCCCUUAGCAUGGUUACCCUGAGUAAUUUGAUAUGGGAGUGGUCCGGGGUUCGAUUCCCCGUCUGUCCA